CAAAGAAUAGUUUAGGUUAGAAUGCCGGCUUUGGGAGCGGGUGGCGGGAGUUUAAUUCUCCCUUCUUUGA
rnacentral:tRNA from 1 species